rnacentral:rRNA from 1 species
CAAUAGCGUAUAUUAAAGUUGUUGCAGUUAAAAAGCUCGUAGUUGGAUUUCGGGGUGGCCUGGCUGGUCCGCAGCAAGGUGAGUACUGGUCAGCCGCCCUUCCUCUCGAAAGCCCCGACUGCUCUUUACUGCAGUGGUCGGGUAGUUCGGGACGUUUACUUUGAAAAAAUUAGAGUGUUCAAGGCAGGCUAUCGCCUGAAUACAUUAGCAUGGAAUAAUGGAAGAGGACCUCGGUCCUAUUUUGUUGGUUUCUAGGGCCGAAGUAAUGAUUAAGAGGGACAGUUGGGGGCAUUCGUAUUUAAUUGUCAGAGGUGAAAUUCUUGGAUUUAUGAAAGACGAACUAGUGCGAAAGCAUUUGCCAAGGAUGUUUUCAUUAA